GCCAGACUCCUACGGGAGGCAGCAGUGGGGGAUAUUGCACAAUGGGGGGAACCCUGAUGCAGCGACGCCGCGUGGGUGAAGGAGCGUUUCGGCGCGUAAAGCCCUAUCGGCAGGGAAGAAGGAGGACGGUACCUGACUAAGAAGCCCCGGCUAACUACGUGCCAGCAGCCGCGGUAAUACGUAGGGGGCAAGCGUUAUCCGGAUUUACUGGGUGUAAAGGGGGCGCAGACGGCAGCGCAAGCCAGGAGUGAAAGCCCGGGGCCCAACCCCGGGACUGCUCUUGGAACUGCGCGGCUGGAGUGCAGGAGGGGCAGGCGGAAUUCCUGGUGUAGCGGUGAAAUGCGUAGAUAUCAGGAGGAACACCGGUGGCGAAGGCGGCCUGCUGGACUGCGACUGACGCUGAGGCUCGAAAGCGUGGGGAGCAAACAGGAUUAGAUACCCCGGUAC
rnacentral:rRNA from 1 species